rnacentral:rRNA from 1 species
GUGGGGAAUAUUGCACAAUGGGCGCAAGCCUGAUGCAGCAACGCCGCGUGAGUGAAGAAGUAUUUCGGUAUGUAAAGCUCUAUCGGCAGGGAAGAAAGGCCCGAAAGGGAGAUGACGGUACCUGACUAAGAAGCCCCGGCUAACUACGUGCCAGCAGCCGCGGUAAUACGUAGGGGGCAAGCGUUAUCCGGAUUUACUGGGUGUAAAGGGAGCGCAGACGGCAGUGCAAGUCUGAUGUGAAAGCCCGGGGCUCAACCCCGGAACUGCAUUGGAAACUGUACAGCUUGAGUGUCGGAGAGGUAAGCGGAAUUCCUAGUGUAGCGGUGAAAUGCGUAGAUAUUAGGAGGAACACCGGUGGCGAAGGCGGCUUACUGGACGAUUACUGACGUUGAGGCUCGAAAGCGUGGGGAGCAAACAGGAUUAGAAACCCUAGUAGUCC